UACGUAGGGUCCGAGCGUUGUCCGGAAUUAUUGGGCGUAAAGGGCUCGUAGGCGGUCCGUUACGUCGGGAGUGAAAAGCUGGGGCUUAACCCCAGUCCUGCUUCCGAUACGGGUGGACUAGAGGUAGGUAGGGGAGAUCGGAAUUCCUGGUGUAGCGGUGAAAUGCGCAGAUAUCAGGAGGAACACCGGUGGCGAAGGCGGAUCUCUGGGCCUUACCUGACGCUGAGGCGCGAAAGCUAGGGGAGCGAACAGG
rnacentral:rRNA from 1 species